UUUUGGUGUCAAGGGUAAGCUCUAGGUCCUCUUCCCCGACGUCAUCUUCUUCUCCUUCGUCAGCUGCAACUGGAUCAGGAGUGCGCUGGAUAUCCUCGUGUCAUUGUCAUGGACUCGCACCAUCCCUGACAUAAUAUUCAUGCCGAGGAGGGCCCUCGGUGAGCAGCACCUCCGUCCGUGCCUUUCCCCCCGUGGUAAGUGCACCGUAGGCGUCACCGUCGUUGUGUCUUCACCCUGCUCCCCAUGCUCUAC
rnacentral:lncRNA from 1 species